AGAUAAAAUUGCUGAAAACACCGAGUUAAACAUCGUAACCUCGCAACCGAGUCAUUCCUCUCUUUAUCUCGUAUCUAAGUGGACACCGUGCCCUCUGGACUUUACCAUCGGUCAGUCCGUUGUACGUUCACAUUGUACACGCCGAUUCCCUAAGGCUCCUAACGCAUGGAUAGGAAGUCUUGCAAGGAGUUACUAUCGAUGUUUCAUUGUGCAUAAAAAUAGGACAUGUGAAGGCUAAAGACAACAACAGGUUGUCGCAUAAGUCUAGUACAUAAAGGCAGGCCAAGAAUACGUUACUUCUGGGGAAGGAACAAGGCGCUCGGGGCAGGACAGGACUUAGUUAUUCUUGUAUAUCAGGGAUAUGGUCUAUAACAUCAAAGCUCCGAGAAGAAUGAUAUGAACACGACCAUAACACCUUGUGUCUUCACCUGUGCACACGUGAUCAGAAAGGCCCGCAAUAUGAGGGCAAGACGAAGGAAGCACUUGACUAUCUCGUCAUGACCAUGGUUGCAUUGUUCACUCGUGGAGUUCUCUUUAACACACAUGUCAGUUGUCCAACAGUUCAGUUAAUCGUAAAUUAUUUGUGUCUUUUUGAGGGUGGGGUAGAGGAUUGGGAGGGUAAAGUAAGUGUUGAAAUUGUUAUGGUAGUUUUAAUACAUAUUCCGUACUGUAUUUUCUUAGGCAAAACUCUUCAAACGUUUAAAGAACAUCGUUUGUUUUUCUGGUCAUAGGUGGUUAUGGAAAGCUUUGAAAUAUUUCAUACAAUUUCAUCCAUCAAUAUUCUCCAUAAUCGAUAUCUAUAAUUUAUAUAAAGUGCAUGCACAGAGUUCAUUUCGCUCAGAAAGCCAAGCGAAUGUGGAAUGCGUCACAAAGUAAAACAGUAUAUAUCAGGAACAUAAUCCUCCUUAAAGAUGUUCAAAUGUCACAGGAGAUUGAAGCCGUUGAAUGCUGUUGUAUAAUGGUAAUUAUUAAACUUGAUCA